rnacentral:tRNA from 1 species
GCGGGAGUAGCUCAGCUGGUAGAGCGUCUCCCUUCCAAGGAGAAGGUCGCGGGUUCAAAUCCCGUCUCCCGCUCCA